GCAGUAGCCGCGGGAAUACGAAGGGUGCAAGCGUUACUCGGAAUUACUGGGCGUAAAGCGUGCGUAGGUGGUGGUCUAAGUCCGUUGUGAAAGCCCUGGGCUCAACCUGGGAAUUGCAGUGGAUACUGGGUCACUAGAGUGUGGUAGAGGAUAGUGGAAUUUCCGGUGUAGCAGUGAAAUGCGUAGAGAUCGGAAGGAACAUCUGUGGCGAAGGCGACUAUCUGGGCCAACACUGACACUGAGGCACGAAAGCGUGGGGAGCAAACAGGAUUAGAUACCCCGUAGUCCCUGUCUCUUAUACA
rnacentral:rRNA from 1 species